UACGGGGGGUGCGAGCGUUGUUCGGAAUUACUGGGCGUAAAGGGCUCGUAGGCGGCCAACUAAGUCAGACGUGAAAUCCCUCGGCUUAACCGGGGAACUGCGUCUGAUACUGGAUGGCUUGAGGUUGGGAGAGGGAUGCGGAAUUCCAGGUGUAGCGGUGAAAUGCGUAGAUAUCUGGAGGAACACCGGUGGCGAAGGCGGCAUUCUGGACUGCAACUGACACUGAUGAACGAAAGCCAGGGGAGCAAACGGG
rnacentral:rRNA from 1 species